UAGGGAAUCUUCCGCAAUGGGCGAAAGCCUGACGGAGCAACGCCGCGCGAGUGAUGAAGGUCUUCGGAUCGUAAAACUCUGUUACUAGGGAAGAACAAAUGUGUAAGUAACUAUGCACGUCUUGACGGUACCUAAUCAGAAAGCCACGGCUAACUACGUGCCAGCAGCCGCGGUAAUACGUAGGUGGCAAGCGUUAUCCGGAAUUAUUGGGCGUAAAGCGCGCGUAGGCGGUUUUUUAAGUCUGAUGUGAAAGCCCACGGCUCAACCGUGGGGGGUCAUUGGAAACUGGAAAACUUGAGUGCAGAAGAGGAAAGUGGAAUUCCAUGUGUAGCGGUGAAAUGCACAGAGAUAUGGAGGAACACCAGUGGCGAAGGCGACUUUCUGGUCUGUAACUGACGCUGAUGUGCGAAAGCGUGGGGAUCAAACAGG
rnacentral:rRNA from 1 species